GUAUAUCUGAUGAGUCACAAAUAUGACGAAACGCGUGUCCUGGAU
rnacentral:hammerhead_ribozyme from 1 species